CCUACGGGAGGCAGCAGUGGGGAAUAUUGCACAAUGGGCGCAAGCCUGAUGCAGCCAUGCCGCGUGUAUGAAGAAGGCCUUCGGGUUGUAAAGUACUUUCAGCGGGGAGGAAGGGAGUAAAGUUAAUACCUUUGCUCAUUGACGUUACCCGCAGAAGAAGCACCGGCUAACUCCGUGCCAGCAGCCGCGGUAAUACGGAGGGUGCAAGCGUUAAUCGGAAUUACUGGGCGUAAAGCGCACGCAGGCGGUUUGUUAAGUCAGAUGUGAAAUCCCCGGGCUCAACCUGGGAACUGCAUCUGAUACUGGCAAGCUUGAGUCUCGUAGAGGGGGGUAGAAUUCCAGGUGUAGCGGUGAAAUGCGUAGAGAUCUGGAGGAAUACCGGUGGCGAAGGCGGCCCCCUGGACGAAGACUGACGCUCAGGUGCGAAAGCGUGGGGAGCAAACAGGGAUUAGAUACCCUGGUAGUCCACGCCGUAAACGAUGUCGACUUGAGGUUGUGCCUUGAGGCGUGGCUUCCGGAGCUAACGCGUUAAGCGACCGCCUGGGGAGGACGGCCGCGAGUAAACGUUACGAAGUAGAGUUAGAGCGNGAGACGNGCGACGGACGACGACGAGGAGAGG
rnacentral:rRNA from 1 species